GACGAACGCUGGCGGCGUGCUUAACACAUGCAAGUCGAACGAUGAAGCCGGAGCUUGCUCUGGUGAAUUAGUGGCGAACGGGUGAGUAACACGUGAGUAACCUGCCCUUGACUCUGGGAUAACUGCGGGAAACUGUAGCUAAUACCGGAUACGACCCUCGGAGGCAUCUCCUGGGGGUGGAAAGAAUUUCGGUCAAGGAUGGACUCGCGGCCUAUCAGCUAGUUGGUGAGGCAAAGGCUCACCAAGGCGACGACGGGUAGCCGGCCUGAGAGGGUGACCGGCCACACUGGGACUGCGACACGGCCCAGACUCCUAUGGGAGGCAGCAGUGGGGAAUAUUGCACAAUGGGCGCAAGCCUGAUGCAGCAACGCCGCGUGAGGGAUGACGGCCUUCGGGUUGUAAACCUCUUUUAGCAGGGAAGAAGCGAAAGUGACGGUACCUGCAGAAAAAGCACCGGCUAACUACGUGCCAGCAGCCGCGGUAA
rnacentral:rRNA from 1 species